rnacentral:rRNA from 1 species
GACGAACGCUGGCGGCGUGCCUAAUACAUGCAAGUCGAGCGAAUCAAUGGGAGCUUGCUCCCUGAGAUUAGCGGCGGACGGGUGAGUAACACGUGGGUAACCUGCCUGUAAGACUGGGAUAACUUCGGGAAACCGGAGCUAAUACCGGAUAGUUUCUUUUCUCGCAUGAGAGAAGAUGGAAAGAUGGUUCUGCUAUCACUUACAGAUGGACCCGCGGCGCAUUAGCUAGGUGGUGAGGUAACGGCUCACUAAGGCCACGAUGCGUAACCGACCUGAGAGAGUGAUCGGCCACACUGGGACUCCGACACGGCACAGACUCCUACGGGAGGCAGCAGUAGGGAAUCUUCCGCAAUGGACGAAAGUCUGACGGAGCAACGCCGCGUGUGCGAAGAAGGCCUUCGGGUCGUAAAGCUCUGUUGUUAGGGAAGAACAAGUACGAGAGUAACUGCUCGUACCUUGACGGUACCUAACCAGAAAGCCACGGCUAACUACGUGCCAGCCGCCGCCGUAACAC